UUUACAUAUAGUAAAAACGAUAAAAUGGUCUUUUAACGUAUCUUGAGGGGUGGCAGGUAUGUGGGGUGGCGGCAAGUAGAAUCCUAAACAUUAAAAUAGAAAAUGAUAUUGAAAGUUGCUCUUCUCCCCCUUUACCCCUCAAUUUUCUAAAUUUAUUUUUUUAUCGAAUAUUAGGAUUGCUAAUUUCUAAUGGCAUGAAUCUGGUAAUUUAAAUUAACGUAUUAAAGCAUUUGAUAGGUAUUAAUACAUAAGUCAUAACAACAUUCUCACCAAACACUUCUUAUUCAACCCUGAACCUCAAAAGGCUUAUCCAUUGACAUCAUCAACUAUAUUUUUCUUCAUUGCAAAGGUAAUGUAACUCUAAAAUCCUCCUCAUUGUCAUUUUUGUUGUUAAAUUUUUGAAGUAUUGUAUUGUACAUGAUUCUGGUAGUAUAUUUUUAAAUAGGUUCUCCUAUUUAGCUGAAUCACGAAAAUAGUCCUUCAUUUUAUUUGUCCCUAGUUUUAGUCCCCAAACAUAAUUUUAGUCUAAAACUUGAUAAAGUGUCAUUUUUUUUGCGCUUAUUUAAGCCACAUCAUGCCUCAAUAUCUCGUGGUGCGACAAUUGUACUUGAGAUUUAUGAUCAUAAAUGGUGUGGUGUGACUUAAGAAAAUGACAUUUCAUCAAGUUUUGGACCAAAAUUAUGUUUGAGAGACCAAAAUUGGAGAAAAUUAAAAUGGGGGGCUAUUUUCAUGAUUCAGCUAAAAUAGGGAGAUCAAAACUGCAAUUAAGCCUUUUAAAAACUUAUCACCACCAAAUUCACACAUCUUGUAGUGUGUUUUUCAAAAACUUCACAACUUAUUCAACAUUUUAUCAUAUUUCAACAACAACAACGAAUUGAAAUAACAAAAAUAAAAAAUCACUACUGUUCGCUAACAUAAAUUACUUUAAACUACAACAACAAUACAAACUAAUUAUAUCUCACAACAAAUUCAUUUCAAAUAGAAAACAUUUUAUAUCUAUAACAACUUAUAAAACAUAAACGCAAUUUUAACAACAACAAUCAAUUGACAUAACAACGUCAACAUUCAUAUCUAUCUACCUACCUAUUGAAACAACAACAAAAACAUAAACACUGGAAUAAAAAAUAAAAAAUAAAAAAAAAUUUACCCUUAGAUGAUUAUGAGCCGAUGAAUUGAAAAGUGAAGUAAGAAAUCAAAUUGAAUUGAAUUUGAAAGAAAUGGAGGUUUAGAGAAUUUUUUAUUUGAAAAAUAGAUUGAACGAAGAAAAGGACAUUGUGCCUUCUAUCUCACUAUAAAACUAGAUCCUACAAUCCAAUAAGAGGUAUUUAGGUUUUUUGAGAGUUUGUUAGACUAGAACAUAAGCGUUUUUCAAUUAUUUUUUAAUGAUCAAUCAAAAUUAUUUUAACAUAUAUCUUUGAAGUUAAGUAAAAAUACUUA
rnacentral:lncRNA from 1 species